rnacentral:tRNA from 1 species
GCCAGCAUGGUGUAGUGGGUUGAGUGUUGGACUACGAUUCUGGAGACCAGGGUUCAAUUCUCUGCUCAGCCA